CACAUGCAGCUCCAUUUCCAGUUGAGCACUGCAAUUACUGGGGACAUGAAGCUAACUCCAAAGGUCAUAGGAGGCUAUCUGUUUGUCACCCCACGGCUGAAUUUGUUCCUAAUGCAUGUACACAAUCACAUAAGAAUCAGCUCAUUGCAAUGCAUCCUGGAGCACUGGCCUGUCUCAUGUCCUUUGGAAUGAUACCAGAUGGUCAACCUCCUUUCCUUUGGGGAAGAUGGUCCGUACUGCUGUGAAGAAUUUGAGCCUGGGGAAAGGAGGUUAGCUGAAGAGUGAAAAAAUCAAGAUUUGCAAGUCAAAUCAAGUAUUGCAAAACUCCUGUCCUGGAGCCUUUGAAAAUUACCCUCGAGAGACAACGAUUAUGGGAGUUAUGGUGCAGAACAACAUCGUGGAAGUUUAAAUCAGAACUGACCGAGUUUCAAGUCAUUUGGGAAGAUGUCAUCAGAGCUUGUUUUUAAAUGGGCUUAAAAGCAGUUUCUGAAGUAGUAAUGAAUACAGGUUGGCCUUCUCUGCACCUUUUCACCUGGCACCAUUAAGUAUAAUUACUUCUAGUGCUCUCCAUGCUGACAGCAUCAAGUGACAGGUAGUUUUCCUGUUGUAGGUGACAUCUCUAAGAUGUCUUGUUGUGUGACUUUGCUGCCAGGAAAGAUAACUUUUACCUUUUAAUCACCAUAUUUCCAUUCAUGGACACCAGGAUGUAAUAGGAAAUUCUUAGGGAAUUGAAUUCUUCCUUGGAGCUGAAACUCCCUAGUUCUUGGAACAGUUUAUCCAUUGGAGAGCUCAGCAAAUGGGUUGUUGCUUUCUUUAGACCUUGACUAAUAAGAAUAGAUUACUCAAGGGAUGAGUGAAAAGGUUAAGUCUUUUUUUUUCCAGUAAUCAGUGGAUUAACUCAUCUCUGAAUACCAUUGCUAUUCAUGUAGUUCACACAGUUUAUUAGUACCACAAAGUCUUGGAGACAAGGUUGUAAGUUUCACUCAGGUUCAAUCUGAUAAAGAUUUCAUGCCUGGUUCCUGGAGCAUCUUCUUCGGGUGCUGGCCAUUCAGUGCCUUCAGUUGUCUCAGCUGCAAUCAGUCCAAACACUUAGCAGAAACCACACCUUGACCAUCUAUGGAGCUGGUCUGUACCACAACUGCCUUAACCAUUUAUUGUUCACUGCCGCCCUGGUUAUCAAGAGUUUUCUAAAGCCUUCUGAGUUUACAUUCUUGUAGAGAACUUUCUCACACAACUUUCUGUAAACAACCUAUUGUUUUGCAUUCUUUCAUAGAAGCAGAGAAAUUUGAUGUACAGGUAGUUUGUCCAGUGUCGUUGGAGAGGUGGCACGUUCACCCUCCAAUCCACUGGCAUCUUUUGAGAACUAUAAA